GAAUAUUGCACAAUGGGCGAAAGCCUGAUGCAGCAACGCCGCGUGCGGGAAUAAGGCCUUAGGGUUGUAAACCGCUUUCAGCAGGGAAGAAACUGACGGUACCUGCAGAAGAAGGAGCGGCCAACUACGUGCCAGCAGCCGCGGUGACACGUAGGCUCCAAGCGUUGUCCGGAUUUAUUGGGCGUAAAGAGCUCGUAGGCGGUUUAGUAAGUCGGGUGUGAAAACUCUGGGCUCAACCCAGAGAUGCCACUCGAUACUGCUAUGACUUGAGUACGGUAGGGGAGUGGGGAAUUCCUGGUGUAGCGGUGAAAUGCGCAGAUAUCAGGAGGAACACCAGUGGCGAAGGCGCCACUCUGGGCCGAAACUGACGCUGAGGAGCGAAAGCGUGGGUAGCAAACAG
rnacentral:rRNA from 1 species